rnacentral:pre_miRNA from 1 species
CAGCGCCUUUUGCUCUGCUCACGCGGCCGCCACGCGGCGGCUGGGUAAGGGCCUCGGGGCGACGC